UACAGAGGUCUCAAGCGUUGUUCGGAUUCAUUGGGCGUAAAGGGUGCGUAGGCGGCGCGGUAAGUCGGAUGUGAAAUCUCGGAGCUUAACUCCGAAACUGCAUUCGAUACUGCGGUGCUUGAGGACUGGAGAGGAGACUGGAAUUCAUGGUGUAGCAGUGAAAUGCGUAGAGAUCAUGAGGAAGACCAGUGGCGAAGGCGGGUCUCUGGACAGUUCCUGACACUGAGACACGAAGGCCAGGGGAGCAAACGGG
rnacentral:rRNA from 1 species